rnacentral:rRNA from 1 species
GGAAUUUUCCGCAAUGGGCGAAAGCCUGACGGAGCAACGCCGCGUGAGGGAGGAAGGCCCUAGGGUUGUAAACCUCUUUUCUCUGGGAAGAAGAACUGACGGUCCCAGAGGAAUAAGCCUCGGCUAACUCCGUGCCAGCACCCGCGGUAAGACGGAGGAGGCAAGCGUUAUCCGGAAUUAUUGGGCGUAAAGCGUCCGCAGGCGGCUUUUUAAGUCUGUUGUCAAAGCCCACAGCUCAACUGUGGAUCGGCAAUGGAAACUGGAGAGCUUGAGUGUGGUAGGGGUAGAGGGAAUUCCCGGGGUACCGGUGAAAUGCGUAAAUUUCGGGAAAAACACCAGUGGCGAAGGCGCUCUACUGGGCCACAACUGACGCUGAGGGACAAAAGCUAGGGGAGCGAAAUGGAUUAGAUACCCCAGUAGUC